rnacentral:lncRNA from 1 species
AUAAAGAUCAGUCAUCGUCCCUGUGUAAAAGCUGCUUUCUAAAGAAGCCCAAUAAAAAAUGAGAGCAAGAUAGGCCUAGGCCCUAGCAUCUUUGUCGCUGGUAAAACACGUCUAAAAAAGCAUGACGUCAUAUAUUACGCUACGCGUAAUGGAUGGUUGCAAGAACGAAUUUUCGUAAAUGAAAAUUCAUUAUUAGGGGCCUAGCCUAGGCUUAGAUAAUGUUCAAUUCAGCGCCUAUUGUGGAUGCCAAGGAAUAUAUACUGUAGGAACAAGACGCUCAGAUGAUUUCACUAAGAAAGAAGUCAAAGGGAAAACUCUAUUUGAGACAACUGUGGCUCGUCCCAGAGAAAAACGAAAGCAAGUGAGAAAGAUGUACGCAAGCGAUAUGGAUCUGAAGGACCUUGGGGGAAAGUAUGGAUUAAAAGACAGUUGAUGUUCAUCCAACAGAGGAGGAGAAAGAAGAUUUAGAUGAACUUUUAACAGAGAGAAGUAAAACAAGAAGACAAACAGAAAAAAAAAAGCAGGAGAGGAAAAAUGUACAUUACAUCUCAAAGAUGCGUACGAUUAUCAAGACCGCUCCUUACUACACAUUCCAAUGGAUCUUGACGUCGACCUCAAGUCAGAGGACCCGCCUGAGAAAUGUUACCUGCCGAAGAAGCUCCUACACACCUGGACGGGACACACAAAAGUUGUGGGAAGUGUAUAACAAAAGGUGUGUUAUCUGUCUGUCCAUGAUGCAUUCUUCAAUAAUAUUGGUGAUAAGUUUAUCAGCACAGGCUAUGACCGAUACAUGAAAAUUUGGAAUACAGAAACGGAACUGGAAAUUUAAAGCGCUUCGAAAAUUAUUUACUCCUGUCUUGCGCUACAAAUAAUAAUAAUAAUAAUAAUAAUAAUAUCUCAAAUUUAUAUGGCGCCAAUUUCAAACAAGAUCGAAGGCGCAACACAUGUGAAAAGCCACCAGUAAACAAAUAGGUCUUAGAGUUGGAAGAAGUUAUGUAAUUUGGAAGUUGGUUCCAGAAAUAGACAGAUGCAAAAGUAAAAGAACAUUGACCGUAGGUUUUGGUACAGCAAUUGGAGACAGAAAAAGAACGUAAAUAUGAAGAUUCAUUCAGAUGGAGAGCUUUAAAGGUCAGAACAAGUAAUUUAAAUGCAAUGAACAAGUAAUUUAAAUUGCAAUGCAAUAAAAUGUUGUUUGUUAUCAUAAUAUUAUGUUUGCCCAAUUCUUGU